UUUUGGCCACUGUCACGCUGGCCUUAGGUGGUCUUAGCUGGUUUUAGCUGGUUUUCUUUACUGAAUCAACUGGUUUUAGCUGGAUUAGAAUAGAAAAAUGUUAACAACAUGCUAGUUACUUGCUUAUCAGACUAGAAACAUACUUCUAACAUGGUUUAAAGUGGUUUUGGCCACUGUCACGCUGGCCUCAGCUGGUCUUAGCUGGUUUUAGCUGGUUUUCUUUACUGAAUCAACUGGUUUUAGCUAGAUUAUCAUAGAAACAUGUUAACAACAUGUUAGUAACUUGAUAAUCAGGUUAGAAAUAUGCUUUUAACAUGGUUUUAAAGUAGUUUUUGGCCACUGUCACGCUGGUCUUAGCUGGUUUCUAACUGAAUCAACUAGUUUUACCUGGAUUAACAUAGAAACAUGCUAGUCACUUGCUAGUCAUGCUAGAAACAUGCUAGUCACUUGGUAAUCAUGCUAAAAAAAUACUAGUCACUUUGCUAAUCAUGAUAACAAAAUGCUAGUCACUUUGUUAAUCAUGCUAAAAACAUGCUAGAAACAUGCUACAAACAUGCUAGUCAUGCUAGCAACAUGCUAGAGACAUGCUAGUCAUGUUAACAGCAUGCUAGUCACUUGCUACUUAUGCUAGCAACAUGCUAAUCACUUGCUAAUCAUGCUAACAACAUGCUAGUCUCUUGUUAAUCAUGGUAACAACAUGCUAGUAACUUUGCUAAUCAUGCUAAAAACAUGCUAAUAACAUGCUAGUCACUUGCUAAUCAUGCUAAUGGCAUGCUCGUCAUGCUAGAGACAUGCUAGAGACACGCUAGUCAAGCUAGCAACAUGCUAGUAACUUUGCUAGUCAUGUUAGUGACAUGCUAGUCGCAUGCUAAUCAUGCUAGCAAAAUGCUAGUCGCAUACUAAUCAUGCUAAAAACAUGUUAGCAACAUACAAACAACAUGCUAAUCAUGUUAGAAA
ensembl:lncRNA